rnacentral:rRNA from 1 species
AUUGAACGCUGGCGGCAGGCCUAACACAUGCAAGUCGAGCGAGCGGCGGACGGGUGAGUAAUGUAUGGGGACUGCCCGAUAGAGGGGGAUAACUACUGGAAACGGUGGCUAAUACCGCAUACUGUCGGAUAACCCAUAGGGGAUUAGCUAGUAGGUAAGGUAAUGGCUUACCUAGGCGACGAUCCCUCGCUGGUCUGGGAGGAUGAUCCGCCAAAAUGGGAAUUGGAAACGGCCCAGACCCCUACGGGGGCAGCAGGGGGGAAACUUCCGCAAAGGAGGACAGUCUGACGGAGGAACGCCGGGUGGGUGAUGAAAGCCUUCGGGUUGUAAAGCUCUGUUAGGCGGGAGACGGUACCGGCAGAGAAAGCAACGGCUAACUACGUGCCAGCAGCCGCGGUAAUUC